rnacentral:rRNA from 1 species
GACGAACGCUGGCGGCGUGCCUAAUACAUGCAAGUAGAACGCUGAAGGAGGAGCUUGCUUCUCUGGAUGAGUUGCGAACGGGUGAGUAACGCGUAGGUAACCUGCCUGGUAGCGGGGGAUAACUAUUGGAAACGAUAGCUAAUACCGCAUAAGAGUAGAUGUUGCAUGACAUUUGCUUAAAAGGUGCAAUUGCAUCACUACCAGAUGGACCUGCGUUGUAUUAGCUAGUUGGUGGGGUAACGGCUCACCAAGGCGACGAUACAUAGCCGAACGGAGAGGGGGAUCGGCCGCACUGGGACGGAGACACGGCCCAGACGCCUACGGGAGGCAGCAGUAGGGAUUCUGCGGGAAUGAGCGGAAGUCUGACCGAACAACGCGGCGGGAGUGAGGAGGGUCUCCGGAUCGUAGAGCUCGGUUGUAAGAGAGGAACGAGUGUGAGAGUGGAAAGUUCACACUGUGACGGUAACUGACCAGAAAGGGACGGCUAACUACGUG